rnacentral:misc_RNA from 1 species
GAUGAAGAACGUAGCGAAAUGCGAUAAGUAAUGUGAAUUGCAGAAUUCAGUGAAUCAUCGAAUCUUUGAACGCACAUUGCGCCCGCCGGUAUUCCGGCGGGCAUGCCUGUCCGAGCGUCAUUUCACCACUCAAGCCCGGCUUGGUGUUGGGGCGCCCGGCCGCCUGGCGGUCGGGGCCCCCAAGUACAUCGGCGAUCCUGCUGGGGCUCCGAGCGCAGUAACUCGCGGUAAAACGCGCCCUCGCUCGGCGGCCUCUUCGGGCUUCCAGCCGCUAAACCCCCAGUGACGUUUUUCGAGUUGACCUCGGAUCAGGUAGGAAUACCCGCUGAACUUAAGCAUAUCAAUAAGCGGAGGA